CGCUAGCUUAAGCUAAUUUAGCUACGGCAAAAGACAGGCUAAUGUCCACUUAACGCCAGAUGUAAUCCAUGAACUCAAUCAAGACAAGACAGUUGGCAACUGCGACACGAGAUCAGGACAACCGUGCCGUGGAUCCGUGAACAGUACAACGUUUGCAGCUAGCGGUAGCCUUCCGUGGGGUUGCCAGUUGUGUCUCCGUCAGGUAAAGAAGAUAUAAGUACAUCUCCCAUUGCUGGUCUAUCACAGAACACAGAGGGGGCCAUGAUGACCCCAUCCCAGAGGAGCCUGCUGUUUUGCCUGCAAGAUGGACUGACUGCAGCCAGAAACCAAGAGGAGACAGGCCCUUUUCUGCUCUCUUAUGUUGGUUCAAUCACCAGUCUACUGUACAAAGGAGGCAGCCUGAUGGCAUGACGAGUGCACAUCGCUCAUCUGCCUGUGCUGUUGUCUCGGUUUGAGCCUCAUAAAAGGAAGCGGGCCUGACGAUGCCAGAGGCGGGGGAUCCAGCUCUGAGGUCUGAGCGGAGAAACAUCAGCAGAGCGCCAUCCUUUAGAAGGAGAUGUCCUUCAUAGUGGUGCCAACUCUCCCUGGGGCAGCAGCGUUAAGACACAGCCUCUUAUUUACCAUAUACAGGAUCUCUCCGUGCCCUUAAUGAGCCAGGAUAUUCAGCAUCACAGAGACAAAGGCCACGCUUUCACUGAAGAAGCUGUGGUUUUGCUGAAUUAAAUAAUGAUAAUUAAGAAAAUAUUAAUCAAACCCUGGCUCUCCCGGCUGUGUGGAUGUGUUGAGGGAGCAGGUCUUCCAGCUGAGCCUGUAGGAGUUCUCAUUUAGAGUAUGCCUGCGACCUAUAGAGCUGCAGGCAAACACACACUCACAAACACACACAGAUGCACACAAUUAAGAGCAGACCAUGGUGGCCUACUGCUCUAUAAUUAAACGCCCUUUGGUGCAUGGCACAAAAAUACUGAGCCAGGUUCAGAUGUGUCAAGGAGAGAGAGAUGAGAAGGAACGUUAAGAAGCUGUCAUUUCUCUAAGUUGUGACUUCUGUUUGGUGCGAUGAAUUAAUAAAAAGCACAAACUAA